GCAACCUCUCAACAGCUCUGCUUUUUGUGGACUUGGAGAAUUUGCAUUUUAACAAGGGGGAUAACCUUGAAGUAUUGAAAGGAAUUUCUAAUUGUGGAAUUGCUGGCACAGGAGAAGUGCAAAGAAUCUUAAAAUGCAACAGAAGACAUUUAAGUUGAGCUUAAGGAAGCAUUUCCCAACUAUAAAGUUGUGAGACCCCAUCACAGAUCACUAAGAGAUGGUGGAUUCGUCCUGCCUGG